GAUGAACGCUGGCGGCGUGCCUAAUACAUGCAAGUCGAGUGAACGGACGAGAAGCUUGCUUCUCUGAUGUUAGCGGCGGACGGGUGAGUAACACGUGGAUAACCUACCUAUAAGACUGGGAUAACCUCGGGAAACCGUAGCUAAUACCGGAUAAUAUUUUGAACCGCAUGGUUCAAAAGUGAAAGACGGUCUUGCUGUCACUUAUAGAUGGAUCCGCGCUGCAUUAGCUAGUUGGUAAGGUAACGGCUUACCAAGGCAACGAUGCAUAGCCGACCUGAGAGGGUGAUCGGCCACACUGGAACUGAGACACGGUCCAGACUCCUACGGGAGGCAGCAGUAGGGAAUCUUCCGCAAUGGGCGAAAGCCUGACGGAGCAACGCCGCGUGAGUGAUGAAGGUCUUCGGAUCGUAAAACUCUGUUAUUAGGGAAGAACAUAUGUGUAAGUAACUGUGCACAUCUUGACGGUACCUAAUCAGAAAGCCACGGCUAACUACGUG
rnacentral:rRNA from 1 species